GACGAGGUGACUGAGUGGUUAAGGUGAUGGACUGCUAAUCCAGUGUCCAUUGCACGCGUGGGUUUGAGUCCCAUAUUCGUCG
rfam:Daphnia magna strain Xinb3 contig16572, whole genome shotgun sequence.